rnacentral:sRNA from 1 species
UGAUUACCUUCGCGUUUCGAACUUUGUU